CCUGGGAACUGCGUUNUGAACUGGGUGACUAGAGUGUNUCAGAGGGAGGUAGAAUUCCACGUGUAGCAGUGAAAUGCGUAGAGAUGUGGAGGAAUACCGAUGGCGAAGGCAGCCUCCUGGGAUAACACUGACGUUCAUGCCCGAAAGCGUGGGUAGCAAACAGGAUUAGAUACCCUGGUAGUCCACGCCCUAAACGAUGUCGAUUAGCUGUUGGGCAGCAUGACUGCUUAGUAGCGAAGCUAACGCGUGAAAUCGACCGCCUGGGGAGUACGGUCGCAAGAUUAAAACUCAAAGGAAUUGACGGGGACCCGCACAAGCGGUGGAUGAUGUGGAUUAAUUCGAUGCAACGCGAAGAACCUUACCUGGUCUUGACAUGUGCGGAACCCUCCAGAGACGGAGGGGUGCCUUCGGGAGCCGUAACACAGGUGCUGCAUGGCUGUCGUCAGCUCGUGUCGUGAGAUGUUGGGUUAAGUCCCGCAACGAGCGCAACCCUUGUCAUUAGUUGCCAUCAUUAAGUUGGGCACUCUAAUGAGACUGCCGGUGACAAGCCGGAGGAAGGUGGGGAUGACGUCAAGUCCUCAUGGCCCUUAUGACCAGGGCUUCACACGUCAUACAAUGGUCGGUACAGAGGGUAGCCAAGCCGCGAGGUGGAGCCAAUCUCACAAAACCGAUCGUAGUCCGGAUUGCACUCUGCAACUCGAGUGCAUGAAGUCGGAAUCGCUAGUAAUCGCAGGUCAGCAUACUGCGGUGAAUACGUUCCCGGGUCUUGUACACACCGCCCGUCACACCAUGGGAGUGGGGGAUACCAGAAGUAGGUAGGGUA
rnacentral:rRNA from 1 species